rnacentral:rRNA from 1 species
GACGUAGGGCGCGAGCGUUGUCCGGAUUUAUUGGGCGUAAAGAGCUCGUAGGCGGCUUGUCGCGUCGACUGUGAAAUCCCGCGGCUCAACUGCGGGUCUGCAGUCGAUACGGGCAGGCUAGAGUUCGGUAGGGGAGACUGGAAUUCCUGGUGUAGCGGUGAAAUGUGCAGAUAUCAGGAGGAACACCGGUGGCGAAGGCGGGUCUCUGGGCCGAUACUGACGCUGAGGAGCGAAAGCGUGGGGAGCGA